AAUGGGCGAAAGCCUGACGCAGCCAUGCCGCGUGAGCGACGAAGGCCUUCGGGUUGUAAAGCUCUGUCUAAGGGGACGAAACAAUGACGGUACCCUUAAAGAAAGCACCGGCUAACUCCGUGCCAGCAGCCGCGGCAAUACGGAGGGUGCGAGCGUUGUUCGGAAUUACUGGGCGUAAAGCGCGUGUAGGCGGCACACAAGUCGGGUGUGAAAGCCCAUGGCUCAACCAUGGAACUGCGCUCGAAACUGUAGAGCUAGAAUACGGGAGGGGGAUGCGGAAUUCUUGGUGUAGAGGUGAAAUUCGUAGAUAUCAAGGGGAACAUCCGUAGCGAAGGCGGCAUCCUGGACCGAUAUUGACGCUGAGACGCGAAAGCGUGGGUAGCGAACAGGAUU
rnacentral:rRNA from 1 species